UACGUAGGGGGCAAGCGUUGUCCGGAUUUACUGGGCGUAAAGGGCUCGUAGGCGGCCAACUAAGUCGGAUGUGAAAUCCCCAGGCUUAACCUGGGAACUGCAUCCGAUACUGGUUGGCUUGAAUCCGGGAGAGGGAUGCGGAAUUCCAGGUGUAGCGGUGAAAUGCGUAGAUAUCUGGAAGAACACCCGUGGCGAAGGCGGCCCACUGGGCCGGUGCUGACGCUGAGGCGCGAAGGCGUGGGGAGCGAACGGG
rnacentral:rRNA from 1 species